rnacentral:rRNA from 1 species
AGUGAACGCUGGCGGUAGGCCUAACACAUGCAAGUCGAACGGCAGCACAGUAAGAGCUUGCUCUUACGGGUGGCGAGUGGCGGACGGGUGAGGAAUACAUCGGACUCUACUUUUUCGUGGGGGAUAACGUAGGGAAACUUACGCUAAUACCGCAUACGACCUACGGUUGAAAGCAGGGGAUCUUCGGACCUUGCGCGAUUGAAUGAGCCGAUGUCGGAUUAGCUAGUUGGCGGGGUAAAGUCCCACCAAGGCGACGAUCCGUAGAUGGUCUGAGAGGAUGAUCAGCCACACUGGAACUGAGACACGGUCCAGACUAAUACGGGAGGCAGCAGUGGGGAAUAUUGGACAAUGGGCGCAAGCCUGAUCCAGCCAUACCGCGUGGGUGAAGAAGGCCUUCGGGUUGUAAAGCCAUUUUGUUGGGAAAGAAAAGCAGAAGGUUAAUACCCCGCUGUUCUGACGGUACCCAAAGAAUAAGCACCGGCUAACUUCGUG